UUUAUCUUUACUACUUGAAACCCAAUUUACCUAUAUGAAUUCUCUUAAUGUGCAGUAAGUGUAUUGUUCAUUUGAAUAGAGCUGUAAAGACAUUUUAAUUUUAAAUUCUUUUUAUAACUGAAACUGUUUUGAGAUAGAUCAUGCAUGAAAGUAGCAGGUUAUGUUUGAAUAAAAUAAAAUGAAUCAAAGAACCUUUUGUUCACUGAGUUCAUGGCCAAGGAAUAUAUAGUAUUAAAACUGUAUUGUUUUCCAAUGAUUAAAUCAUUUAAAGAAUUGCCAAAUAUCUUGAGCUGAUGUUUACAGAGCCAUAUGGUAGUGUAAUUUUUGCAGUAAAGCCCUUUAAGUCUUAUAUGACAUAAUCAGUCACUUGAUCUCAUGGGCCAAAUGAUCACAUUUAAUUUGGCUGUAGCUCAGAUUAAGAUUAAGCAACAGUCCAUGACUAACUUAGUCCUACUAGAAUUUAUUUAUUUCAUGUGUGUGAUUUCUAUAGAACAGGCUGAAUUUCAAAUAAGAGAAAAUCAUUUGCUAAGUAAAACCUGUGUUCAAAAAGUGAAAAACAAAAUGAAACACAACCAAAAACAGCACCAUAGAAGAUGUAAUAUAAUAAAAGGAGAUGGCUGAAUAGAUAACAGGAAAACAGAGAAAAACAUUUUACCAGUCAAGCAAGAAAUAUCUCAUGGAAUUAUUACGAGUUAGUGAAACAAUAUGUGGAUUGUCCAUGGUGAGGAAACUGAUUACCAGAAUUUUAGUGGAUUUUUACUUGAUAGAAUAAAUGCUUUCUGGAAGGUGCAGUUUAUCAAUUUAUCACACAGGGACUUCAGCUAGAUUGGACUAUGGACCACAGUGCAGGACUCACUUUAAAUUUAACCACCUCUCCAAGAAUACGGAAUAUAUUCCCAUCUCCUUGGAAAUGGCCUACAUGGCUAUCCACAGAUGAAUAAAUAAAGAAAAUGUGCUAUUUAUGCACAAUGGAGUACUACUUUGCCAUGAAGAAGCACACACUUGAGUCAUUUAUAGGUAAAUGGUUGCACCUUGAGACCAUAAUGUUAAGUGAAGGAAAUUAGACACAUAAACUUAACUAUUGCAUGGUUUCUCUUAUAUGAGAAACCCAAAAUGUACAUAAAGAGAAAAAUAAGAUAGAUAACAGGAAAUAGAAAGUUCUUUUUCAAAUGGGAAGGGGUUCAGGAGAUAGAGGGGGAAGGAAGAGAGGGAAAGGAGAUUUAAAAAAAGAAUUGAGGGCCAGGGAUUUAGCUCAGUGGUUUCACCACCUGUUGUGCAAGCGCAAGGACCUGAGUUCGAUCCCUGGUACCAAAAAAAAAAAAAAGAAUUGAGAUGUGUUGUGUACAGGUACCAACUCCUCACAACAAAUAUGAUCAUUAUGUAAUGCAAACAUCUACUAAUAAAAACUUAAAAAUAUAAAUAGAUACUGCUAAAAAAUAUAAUCAACCCUUUAAAGGGCCUAGCUUCAAAUAUAGUUAUAUUGUAAAGUUCUAGGUGUUAAGACUCUGACACAUGAAUUUUGAAGGACACAAUUCAGUACACAACAAUGCCCAUGAAUCUUGAAGAAAGUCAGGCAUCACAAUAGAUGACAACUACCAAGACACAGGUGCCUCCUCUGUCCCAUUAUUUGUGUAAGUCCAAAAACUAGAAGGAGACCUGUGAGAUUUAUUUAUGAAGUAACACUGAAAUGAUUGAGUUUUCCCUGAUCAACUAAGAUUGAUUUCUGCUGUCUGAAGAACAUAUCCAAUUAGAGUGGAUAUAGGAAAACUAAAAAGUAUUUUUCAUCUGGUCUAUCUGUGAUUUGAAAUUAUACUUGCUACAUAUAUACUAUGGUGCUGGUCACACUAGGGUACUUGGCUGCAAAUAACUGAAAGUGUUUCAGGCUAAUUGAAGGAAAGAAACUUAUUUGCUUUGAAGGACUUUAUUUUUUAAGAAAAGUUUCAAGGAACUUAGAGAUUCCAUAGAAAGCUACACAGAGCAAAUAUAGUAAUGAUAAAGAACAGCAAGUUCCAGAAGAACAAGAAGCGAGGAGAAGGAAAUGAAACAGCAAUGUUGUAGUUAGAAGGGCCUAGACAAGAUGCUGAGAAUACAAUCCAGUGAGCAGCUGUACUGAGGUGAGUAACUUCUGGCCAGUCUACUGAUUUUUGCACCACUAAUAGAAAGGUGGGUACCAUUUUCUAAGAGGUUCUGGAAUAAGAGGAGGGAGACCCUUGGCUUCUUACUGGAAGGUAAUUCCUUGGGAUUUUUCUCAAUUAAAAACCAUUCACAAAGGGUCUGAGAUCAUUGUUUAACAAUACAGAAUAUACAGAUGCUAUUUGAGAUUUAAAAAAUAGGAGCUGAGAAGCCAAAAUGUGAAGGUAGGUAAUAGAUGCUGAAAUAUUAUGUAGGAUCAUUAGAAAAUGAACUACACAGUUGAAGGAUAUGUCACAUGAACAUGUGGAGAGGGAAGUGAUUAUGAUAGAUGUAAAUGGAUGAUGGGAAAUCAGAGCCUGGGCCAACAAAGGGUUCCCUUUGUCCAGGUGGGACAUAUCAGCUUGGACCCUUUCCAUGGGAGUUGCAUAGAGAAACUCUUCUGUUUCCACAGGCAAGAUCUGAUUUAUUAGUGAAAGGCAAGCCACUGGACAUUCUUGGGUAGCAAUUUCUCAGUGGCUCAACAUCUCUUUUGUUUGAAAGUGAAGGGUAGAAGAGCAUAAGUUGUUCAGGGAUUUGGGAACCUCAACUGUCAUCAAUUUUACUUUUAGCUACUGUUAAGAAGUUCUCUUAAAUUUAAUGUUUCUUUUACUUUAAAAUUUUUGUUAAUACUUUUCCAAUGUUCCUGUUUUUACUUUACACAAAAAUGACCAUAUCUCUUGCAUUUUUUCCUUAUUUAAAAUGACUUUAAAAGUAUUUUUUUUCCUUCAUAUUACA
ensembl:lncRNA